rnacentral:rRNA from 1 species
AUAUUGGGCCUAAAGCAUCCGUAGCUUGUYCUGCAAGUCYUCCGUUAAAUCCACCUGCUCAACAGAUGGGCUGCGGAGGAUACUACAGGGCUAGGAGGCGGGAGAGGCAAGCGGUACUCASUGGGUAGGGGUAAAAUCCUCUGAUCCACUGAAGACCACCAGUGGCGAAGGCGGCUUGCCAGAACGCGCUCGACGGUGAGGGAUGAAAGCUGGGGGAGCAAACCGGAUUAGAUACCCGGGUAGUCCCAGCUGUAAACGAUGCAGACUCGGUGAUGGGUUGGCYUCGAGCCAACCCAGUGCCGCAGGGAAGCCGUUAAGUCUGCCGCCUGGGGAGUACGGUCGCAAGACUGAAACUUAAAGGAAUUGGCGG